AGACCAAAAACUCUCCAUACACACAUAUGGUGGAGAAGUGUAUAAAAACAGGCUGAAAAGAGGAACCAACUGUUCUUAGUCCGCGACGUUGGAGAAGAGUCAACACGGGGAAGCAGGUUGAAAAACAGCAGAGGUCCGCAGCUCGGAACCACGGGGAAGUCGAAACUCCGCGCCGCCAAGAAGGGACAAGAUCCUGACGCCCAAGCCCCGGUUCCUGAUUCGACCGUCGGUCAUGCCUCAACCCAAAUAUUGCAACAGACUUGGAGAAAAGACAAAGGUCCCGAAGGGAUAAAAGAGCUGGGUUUUCGAAGGAUUUGGACCCGUUCUGCGUUGCAUCUAUUCUAAGGAGGACUUUUCCAUACAAGGACAAAGACUCUGACCAAGGCUUCUGGAGGUUCCUGUUGCUAGAGAUCCAUUAACAACUGGGUACCUCUGUGAUCAUGAGGCUGAUGGCUCUUCAGACCCAGGAGGGUUUGCAGAUCCAGAGAUGAGCUCAUGUUGCUGGACUUCCUCACCAGAGUUCACUCAUCUCAAACACACACAGUGUCCUUACAGAUCAGCUACAUAACUUUACACACACACCUCAUGUAUUUAUGGACAGUUAUGUGUCCAUUCAUGCACAACAUUCACAGAUGGACGAAGUUGUUGGUAUCUUCUGUUAAUGACUGAAAAACCCACAGUGCACUGAAACAACUUGAAACUGACAAAAGUAAUAAAUGAAAAUGUACUGAAAAUUAACCAAUAAAAAUCAGACAUUGUUUUUAAUUGAGGUUCAACAGAAUAAGAAAAUGACAGACCAAGAUGACUACAGAAACUUCAGGUCCACAGGACUGGAGCCGAUGUCCCUGGCUGCGGCUGCAGGAAGAAAAUGGACAAAUUCAAGGGAAUUAUGAUACGAAAGGUUACUAAAGUCCAGAAAGUAAAGGUGAACUCCAAGGUCAAGCUGGACUUGAUGUGAAAUGACCAAGGAGGAAAACAAAUCAUAAAAAGUGAGGCUGAAUUUACCACACAGGUUCUGGGAGAGAAGAGACAAAAUGAACAUCAGACACAAACAUGCUAAUAAGUUUUAACUACCAUCAUUUUAAUUGAGCCACAAUUUAUAAUCAGUGUCUGAUUUUCAUCAGUAAACAAUUUUUUACUACUUUUGUUAGUUUCAAGUUACUUCUGUUACCAUUGUGGCUUUUUGUUCAUUAACAGAGGAACCAACUAUAUUAUUCAUGUGUAUUACAAACUAUGUACACAACUUCCAGUUUUAAUCUUCUAUUGCUGUUACUUUUAUUAUUAUUAAUAGUAAUAUUACCACUGUGUGGAGAGACACGUUCCUGCUUUUAUAUGUGAUUUUUAAUGUUUAAAUGUUAAUAAAUAUGUAAACUUA